rnacentral:lncRNA from 1 species
AUAUACAAACAUAGGUAGCAUCUUAUUGUUAAACGACAGUAAUAAACAAGGCAAUAUAAUUAUACAUAUUACAAAUUGUACGGCAAAAUCAAAUGAAAGACGAGGAAGCAAUGAUCACCGCUUUACCAUGGACUAACAAUACUUUUCUUUUCUUCCUUUUUCUUUUUCUUUGUUUUUAUAAUAACCGGAAUAAUUAUUUACUAUUGUAUAUUUUUUUCUCCCUUUCUGGAAUGCAAUGUGACUAAGACAACACUAUAUGAAAUACUAAUGAUCCGGAUAAUAAGUCUCAUACCAAUGAGUAAAACCAGCCACACAGGCUAAAAGUAAUCCAGCCACACAGGCUAAAAGUAAAACCAGCCACAAAGGCUCAAGCCACACAGGCUAAAAAAAUAAACAAGCCACACAGGCUAAAAAUAAACCAAGCCACAAAGGCUACCUAUAGGAACUCUGCUAUACACAUCCUAUAUGAUGCAUGAAACUCCACUUCCUUAACAAGACCAACUUGACCUGCAACAAGGCAUAUGUAAUAAUAAGCAAACACUAGGCAUAUGUAUAAUUAGUCUAAUUACUAGAAGCAUAUAUACAAACGAAUUUAUUUAUUUUUAUAGAAUUAAUUCCUUUGGUUUAUUUUAAGUGAUAAAUGUUCUAUCAUCAUCUCACAACAAAUCCCUAUGUAGCAU